rnacentral:tRNA from 1 species
GAAGUUAUAGCUCAGUGGUAGAGUACAUGCUUAAUAUGUAGGAAGUCCUAGGUUCAAUCCCCAGUAACUCCA